rnacentral:rRNA from 1 species
GUGGGGAAUAUUGGACAAUGGGCGAAAGCCUGAUCCAGCCAUGCCGCGUGUGUGAAGAAGGUCUUCGGAUUGUAAAGCACUUUAAGUUGGGAGGAAGGGCAGUAAGUUAAUACCUUGCUGUUUUGACGUUACCGACAGAAUAAGCACCGGCUAACUUCGUGCCAGCAGCCGCGGUAAUACGAAGGGUGCAAGCGUUAAUCGGAAUUACUGGGCGUAAAGCGCGCGUAGGUGGUUUUGUAAGUUGGAGGUGAAAUCCCCGGGCUCAACCUGGGAACUGCCUCCAAAACUGCAUGACUAGAGUACGGUAGAGGGUAGUGGAAUUUCCUGUGUAGCGGUGAAAUGCGUAGAGAUCUGGAGGAAUACCGAUGGCGAAGGCAGCCAUCUGGCCUAAUACUGACACUGAGGUGCGAAAGCAUGGGGAGCAAACAGGAUUAGAUACUCUUGUAGUCC